CCUCCUUGGUGAAGCUUUCCCCUGUGAACCUGGAAUCUUCUGAUACAGAUCUCUAUUUUCCUGCAAACCCUCCUUGACAUCGAUUACCAUUAAGUGCAGUAGAAUUUCCAUUGAUAAGGUUUCCCUUCAAUAUACAUCUGUGCAUAUAUAGACAAGGAUGUUUUAGUCUUCACAAUCAACUUAAUAUUGGACUGGGAGUUUUACUGUUCACUGUCCAUUGCUCUCAUUUCCAAGAUACUUCCUUCUGUCAGCUAUUUGUAUCAUUGCUUAGCUUUGCUUAAUUAGAUGAAGUUCAGUACUCAGUCAGCUGCCUUUGUUUGGGACAAUGGGGACAUCUGCUGGUCAGUGGGACAAACGGCCUCACAUCCCCACAGCUUUCACAGGAACGCAGAGAAUCUCAGAACGUUCCCGAGUUGGAGGAGACCUACGAAGAUGACCUAGUCGAAAUCCUGCCUCCAUACAAGACUGCAAACUCCGCGUUUGUGGGAACUGUCCAAACAAUUCCUGCAUCUUGGGGCUGUGAGAACUUUUGAAAGCAGGAGCAUCGCAGCGAGCAUCACCUAUUUUCCAUUGGAUUGCUCAAAUGCUCAGCACACACCAUUGCUUUCAGCUGCUUUCAGUGGCGCAUGUGGUUCUGCUCAUACCAAGCACUCAGUGCUGCACAGCCUCCACAGUUCACUCUGCGAUCAGACUGUCCCAUCAUUAGUACAAUAGGCUUCGUUCUCACAUAUUCUUCUCUAAGGAGAAACUCAAGAACCAUAAUCGUAGGCAAAAAUUCUUGUUGGCUCACUGCAAUGUAAUUUAGAAACUCAGAGCCAUGUCUCUCAAUUUGCUGUAGCUGGCACAUCUAGCUGGGAGCUCCUGAAAUUAUGCUAACCAGAAAAUUGACCACAAAAGUAAAACACGCCUGUGAAAACGUAUCUGGGUUUGGGGUCACUGACCAUAGCUGAUGAACAUUGCUAUGGCUGUGCCUGGCCAUGCUGAGCAGAGCAAAAUAAGAGUAAAAACAGGACCAUAAUUGUGCAGUUUUUGCUGUAGUUUGCCUAUACCUUUUUGUUUGUUCUGAUGGAUGUUUCAGGAGCGUUAAAGGAAGACAAUGUGUCAUCUUUGAAUGCAAAUCCAUACAAGCUUAAGUUAUAAAUCCUGGUCUUUAUCCUGUAUAGGACUGCUAGUUUUUCAAGUUCAUACUGCCAAUGGAGGGAGUUGGCAAACUCUGUAUUCAAGGAAGAAACUUGAAAUCUAUCAAGCUGAAGCCUUACAACUUCCAAACAAAAUAAAUCAGAAAAGGACAAAACGUCAACAGAAUUGUCCAGAGCAGUAACAGCAACCAAAGUUUCAUCACAGACAGCAAAAAGGAUAGUAUGUAAGUCAAAAGAAGCUCGCUGACAUGUUAUGCCCAUCCUUGAGCAGCUCAAAAGCUUAUUCUUUAAAAGUAGCCAUGAAUAUCCUUCAUCUUUUUCAAGGGAUUAUUUCUAUGAGUCAAGACUUUUGAGUUCAGCACAGCAUUCACUGUUGUUACCAGUAGCAAGAGCAAUCAGAAAGAAAAGAAGGUAAUAUGUGUACUUUGUUUGUCUUUUGGAUAAAAUGGCACAUAACAUUUUUGACUUGCUGUAUUAUAUCAUAAUUUACCUCUUGACUUCAGCUGUCAACAUGUCAGAUUGUUCUGAUCCCCUUUCAAGCUUUCAUGACAAAAGCCCCCAAGAGAUUAAUUCUUUUCAUUCAUCAGUUUUCUACUUUAAAGUCUUCCAUGCCUUGAGGGAAGGAGAGCAAACACAAGGGGGUCAGUAGGGGGUUAAACAUUCUUCGACCAUAUGAAACAAAUGUGCUGGCCUACUAAGUUGUCAUAGGCUGGUAGUGGGGGAAAUUGAUUAGCAAAUGAAAGAGACAAAAUGGCUAACUAAUUCUGCACAUUUAUCUGUGAGAGUUCAACACUGUAGGCUACAGCUUUCUCAUAAAACAUUUCUAUGAGCUUUUCUGGUUUUAACUGCUUUGACACACUUUCCACCAGUGCUUUGAUUUUUGGCUAAGUGAUUUCUACUUCAGUGAAAAAUCUCUCCCUAUGGAGCGGCAGCAGGUGUUUUGUUACUGUUUUCCAUGCCUUGACCUGCUGGAGAGUUUUCUUUUGAUUUUCAUAGUGUAAAUGCCUCAGAAGCAUAAUGAUUCUCACAGUAACUACUGCACAUAGGAGAAAAGGAAGCAGGAUCCAGGAGUUCCUACUGUUAAAGUGUUAAGUUUUAGCAAAAUACAUCAAGAUAAUCUAACAUAAGUCCUACCUUAAACUGCUCUGAAGGUUAGACAUUGCAUGUGAAAUAUUUCACACAGCUUCUUUUGGAAAUGCAGACUGCCCACAGUAGCUCAGAACAAGAAAACUCAGGGGAAUAUCCUUUACCGGGACUGCAUUAAGAGCAUUUUCCUUUCCAGAUGACUGAAAAUGAUAGCAGUUUGUAUUUGGUUUGAACUCUUGUACAAACUGAACUAGUUUUUGACAUGCAGCAAGAUUUACGUCAUUUCUGAAAACUGGUACCAAUAAGGAGCCCAGCUUCAUGCAGCUUUCUGAUUGAUUUCCAUUGGUCUCAGGUUUAGAGAAGAUCAUUACUGUGAUCUAAAAGGUAUUUGACUCUUCAAGUCCGUCUUGACACUAUGUUCUUAGUGAUUUAUGCAUGAAAACUGAACUUCCACUUCAAAAUGAAAUCUACUCAAAAUAUUGAAAUAGUGUACAUGAUCAAAGCAAAAAAAAGUGAAAGUGAAAAAAAAACAAGACAGAAAAGACAGAAAAUUAGCAAAGUAUCAAGCCUUUUUCUUUGCCACGAUGCCUACCCAAGUAGUAACUCAGCAUAAAUACAGCUACAGUCUUUUUAGAGUUCUUAAUGUAUUCUUCUAGAAUAUGGUAAACAGUGUUCUUUUCUCUGUAAUCCUCCUUAUGGUCAUUUGGCAUCAUCUAAAUGAUCUUGGAGUGCAAGCUCUUGUGAAAACCAGUAUCACCUUGGUUCCCUGCUCACUUAAGGUCAGAUGUUUAAGGCUCCUGAAAUUGCAAUUACAUACGUGGUACAAUUCUAAAAAAUACCUAAGUUCUCAAUUUUCUCUGUAUUAGAUACCAUGGUUGGUUUGAAAAUUCUAUUAACUCUGUAAUAGCAAUUUUAUAUGCCUUUCAAAGCUGAAACUUUAAAAUUGGGCUGUUAAGUAUAUUUUAAAUGUUGCCUUCUGAAUCUCAAGAUCUUGAAAUCUAACUGUUGGUCUCCUCUGUAACUGGAAUGAUAUUGUAUGUUAUAACCUCUGAAGUAUUAAAGAAUAAAAAGAAUGACAAGUGAGGAGGAGACUCUGAAUAGGCACCCUAUUUUGUUAUGAAGGAGCAGCUACUUGGCAGCCACUCCAUAGCAUUUUCAUUAGUGAAAGUAUGAAUGGGCAA